rnacentral:lncRNA from 1 species
AGUUGCAAUUCUCUGUCUGUCCCUCGGCUCCGGAGGGGGGGGGGGUGUAAUAGCGCGGGAGGUGGGGCUAAGGGGACCCUCAUCCUCCCUUUCCGACAAGUGGGGGUCCUGAGCGCUGCCCAGAAGGGGUCCAGAGAAUGUUGUGGGCUGGGGCACACCCGCCGGGGCAGAAAUUGGAGGACACCACCGACGUCGACAGAAUCCUUUCUAUCCUUCCUUUCAGCUGCCCGGUGUUCUCCACCCCUGCGUUAGCACUCUGUAGUCUGGGGACCUCCCGGGAACGUCCCGGGGCUAGCAACCAAGGGGGCUCUCGGAUGCUCUGUGGAUCGCCGCUUCGCCCUUACUUUGGGGACGGUCACACGCGUCCCGCUUCCCCCGGUCGCUUUAGAUCAGGCGUCUGCGCCCUCCCCGGCUCCUCACCCCCACCCCCAGAGUCAAAUGUGGGCCUCUCCUGGAAAUCCUUUGCGAAGGGGACAAACUUUUGAGUGGACGAAAAUCUAUUGGAGCCUGUCCAGAGCAGGCCCUGCUCUGAGACCCUGAGGCUGGCUGGCAUACACUCUGCCUCUGUCUGGAGUUUAUAAUGAGGAUGCAAAUACAGGGAUUCAAAGAAGAGGCCCUAAGUGAGAAGCCCGGGGAUUUGCUAACCAGGGGCAGGGUACCAGUUGUGACUUUGACCUUUAUAGCCUUAACUCACUGUAGACAAUUCUGCAUUUUCCAUUUCCACUCCAUCCCUGUUUCUGGGAGAGAGGUGCUGGUGUCCCCAAGGUUACUGCUCUCUGGGGAUGAGGGUCAGUAUCACAAAUUAAAACCUUAAACUUUCUAAAAACGAAAAGCACAUUUCCCUAUUCUUUGUGUGUUUGGGAGGUUGUGUUUCCCACUAGCCUAGCAGACUCUGACCCCUGAACAUCAGAAUGUGGAUUCCCCUCAUUGUCUACACCAACCCCCCAAGAAAGGCUCAAUCCAGGUGACUGUGGAAAGGAUGAGCCCACACUCACUUCCUCAUCCCUCAUCUGCUUUGAAGGACUCAGGACCUCAGCAGGCUGAACAGCCAUGAGGAGCGAAGCUGAGUGGCUUCCCACCUCCUUUGAGCUCCUCGCAGUUCUGUUUUGUGUGUGGUUUGUCCUCGCCCCUCCUCGGACCUGGAAAAUGAAUGUUUAACCCCGCUCUGCUCAUCUCUCCCUGUGCCCUGUUCCUGUCAGCCUCAAAGCUGCCGGGAGGAAGGACCUGCAGCUUCCAGUCCUGCUCAUAGUCAAUGAAAAUUCAAAUUCUCUUCUCAGCAGAAGGGCAGCUGCCUUCUUCUCCGUUUUCCCUGCACACAUUGAUCUGUCGCGAGGGCACCUGGGGGUCAGAAGAGAGGCCAGGCUCUUUUAAUUUGGUCUGGAAUUAGCAUAUCCUAUCACACCAAAGGCCAGGAUUUCCACAUCCAGGAGCAGGAGGUCUUCACCCAGACCUAGACCUGUUCUUAGACCCCUCAAGCCAGCAAUGAUAUCCACAUUUGUUGAGGUGGAGACCUAGGAGGGAAAAUGAGCAAUUUGGCCCAUUUUUCAGGCCAGUAGCUGCAGCUGUCUGCUCUGUUAAUAUUUUCUUCAGUAUUCAUCACAGGCAAAGCACCGCCUUUACCUCGGAGUGCCUCGAGGAUAGGAAGAUCUUUGCCACCCUGAGACCUCCGUGUGUUGUGGAUAGAUACACAAAUAAACAGAUGGGGAAAAAAAAGACAAA